ACGCAAAGUGUAAAUCCCACAGUUGAGCGUUUACCAUCCCCGAGGUUGCGUUAGUCUGUUGGAACAGCAUUUUAUAAACUCCUGGGAACCAAAAGCAGUAAAUUUAGUCUGUCCCCAGGGGAGGUAGAGACUAAGAGAGAGAGCGAGAGAGAGAGAG